ACCUCGCUGGCGCAAUGGCAGCGCAUCCGCCUGUUGAGCGGCUGGUUCCUGGUUCGAGUCCAGGGCGGGGUGC
rnacentral:tRNA from 12 species